GACGAACGCUGGCGGCGUGCUUAACACAUGCAAGUCGAGCGGUAAGGCCCUUUCGGGGUACGACGAGCGGCGAACGGUAGAGUAACACGUGGGUGACCUGCCUCAGCUCUGGGAUAAGCCGUGGGAAACCGGGUCUAAUACUGGAUAUGACUCCAUGACGCAUGUUGUGGGGUGGAAAGCCUUGUGCGGCUGAGGAUGGGCCCGCGGCCUAUCAGCUUGUUGGUGGGGUGANGGCCUACCAAGGCGACGACGGGUAGCCGGCCUGAGAGGGCGACCGG
rnacentral:rRNA from 1 species